rnacentral:rRNA from 1 species
UACGAGUGGCCCAAGCGUUAUCCGGAAUUAUUGGGCGUAAAGCGCACGUAGGCGGUUUGUUAUGUCGGAUGUGAAAGCCCUUGGCUCAACUGAGGAAGUGCAUCCGAAACUGGCAAGCUAGAGUAUGUAAGAGGGUCGCGGAAUUCCCGGUGUAGAGGUGAAAUUCGUAGAUAUCGGGAGGAACACCGGUGGCGAAGGCGGCGACCUGGGACAAUACUGACGCUGAGGUGCGAAAGCGUGGGGAGCAAACAGG